UUUAUACGGUGAAACUGCGAAUGGCUCAUUAAAUCAGUUAUCGUUUAUUUGAUAGUACCUUACUACAUGGAUACCUGUGGUAAUUCUAGAGCUAAUACAUGCUAAAAACCUCGACUUCGGAAGGGGUGUAUUUAUUAGAUAAAAAACCAAUGCCCUUCGGGGCUCCUUGGUGAAUCAUAAUAACUUAACGAAUCGCAUGGCCUUGCGCCGGCGAUGGUUCAUUCAAAUUUCUGCCCUAUCAACUUUCGAUGGUAGGAUAGUGGCCUACCAUGGUGGCAACGGGUAACGGGGAAUUAGGGUUCGAUUCCGGAGAGGGAGCCUGAGAAACGGCUACCACAUCCAAGGAAGGCAGCAGGCGCGCAAAUUACCCAAUCCCGACACGGGGAGGUAGUGACAAUAAAUACUGAUACGGGGCUCUUUUGGGUCUCGUAAUUGGAAUGAGUACAAUCUAAAUCCCUUAACGAGGAACAAUUGGAGGGCAAGUCUGGUGCCAGCAGCCGCGGUAAUUCCAGCUCCAAUAGCGUAUAUUAAAGUUGUUGCAGUUAAAAAGCUCGUAGUUGAACCUUGGGUCUGGCUGGCCGGUCCGCCUCACCGCGAGUACUGGUCCGGCUGGACCUUUCCUUCUGGGGAACCUCAUGGCCUUCACUGGCUGUGGGGGGAACCAGGACUUUUACUGUGAAAAAAUUAGAGUGUUCAAAGCAGGCCUUUGCUCGAAUACAUUAGCAUGGAAUAAUAGAAUAGGACGUGCGGUUCUAUUUUGUUGGUUUCUAGGACCGCCGUAAUGAUUAAUAGGGAUAGUCGGGGGCGUCAGUAUUCAGCUGUCAGAGGUGAAAUUCUUGGAUUUGCUGAAGACUAACUACUGCGAAAGCAUUCGCCAAGGAUGUUUUCAUUAAUCAGGGAACGAAAGUUAGGGGAUCGAAGACGAUCAGAUACCGUCGUAGUCUUAACCAUAAACUAUGCCGACUAGGGAUCGGGCGGUGUUUCUAUGAUGACCCGCUCGGCACCUUACGAGAAAUCAAAGUUUUUGGG
rnacentral:rRNA from 1 species